rnacentral:rRNA from 1 species
GUCUACAGCCAUGCCACCCUGAACGUGCCCCAUCUCGUCUGAUCUCGAAAGCUAAGCAGGGUCAGGCCUGGUUAGUACUUGGAUGGGAACCCACCUAGGACUACUAGGUGCUGUAGGCU